rnacentral:tRNA from 1 species
GCCUUAGUAGUAUAAUUAAUACACUGGUCUUGUAAACCAGAGCUGGAAACUCUCAUUUCCCUAAGACA